GGCAAACUUUUUACAUACUUGAGCUUAU
rnacentral:piRNA from 1 species